GGCUGCAGUCGAGAAUCUUCGGCAAUGGGCGCAAGCCUGACCGACGACGCCGCGUGGAGGGAUGAAGGCCUUCGGGUUGUAAACUCCUGUCGAGGGGGAGGAAGGGGAAACCUUGACCGAUCCCUGGAGGAAGCACGGGCUAAGUUCGUGCCAGCAGCCGCGGUAAGACGAACCGUGCGAACGUUAUUCGGAAUCACUGGGCUUAAAGCGCGUGUAGGCGGAUGGGAACGUCGGAUACUGAAAGCCCCCGGCUCAACCGGGGAAGUGGUUCCGAAACGACCUGUCUGGAGGGACGUAGGGGGAUCUGGAACUUCCGGUGGAGCGGUGAAAUGCGUUGAGAUCGGAAGGAACGCCCGUGGCGAAAGCGAGGUCCUGGACGUCUGCUGACGCUGAGACGCGAAAGCUAGGGGAGCAAACGGGAUUAGAUACCCCGGUAGUCCUAGCCGUAAACGAUGGGCACUGGGUAGGGGGCUCGCCGAUGGGCUCUCUGCCGUAGCGAAAGCGUGAAGUGCCCCGCCUGGGGAGUAUGGUCGCAAGGCUGAAACUCAAAGGAAUUGACGGGGGCUCACACA
rnacentral:rRNA from 1 species